UACGUAGGGCGCAAGCGUUAUCCGGAAUUAUUGGGCGUAAAGAGCUCGUAGGCGGUUUGUCGCGUCUGCCGUGAAAGUCCGGGGCUCAACUCCGGAUCUGCGGUGGGUACGGGCAGACUAGAGUGCGGUAGGGGAGAUUGGAAUUCCUGGUGUAGCGGUGGAAUGCGCAGAUAUCAGGAGGAACACCGAUGGCGAAGGCAGGUCUCUGGGCCACUACUGACGCUGAGAAGCGAAAGCAUGGGGAGCGAACAGG
rnacentral:rRNA from 1 species